rnacentral:rRNA from 1 species
UACGUAGGGGGCAAGCGUUGUCCGGAAUUAUUGGGCGUAAAGCGCACGCAGGCGGUUCGCUAAGUUCGAAGUGACAAUCAACGGCUUAACCGGUGAACGAUUUCGAAAACUGGCGGACUUGAGAGCGAGAGAGGGACCUGGAACUCCGGGUGGAGCGGUGAAAUGCGUAGAGAUCCGGAAGAACACCACUGGCGCAGGCAAGGUCCUGGCUCGUAAAGUGCUUUAUUCCGAUUGCCAACGACGCUAACGCGUCUACUGCUUCGCAGUCAGGCAAUCGGCAAUGAAGUUCUGACGCUGAGGUGCGAAAGCUAGGGGAGCGAACGGG